UACGGGGGGGGCAAGCGUUGUUCGGAAUUACUGGGCGUAAAGGGCUCGUAGGCGGCCAACUAAGUCAUACGUGAAAUCCCUCGGCUUAACCGGGGAACUGCGUCUGAUACUGGAUGGCUUGAGAUUGGGAGAGGGAUGCGGAAUUCCAGGUGUAGCGGUGAAAUGCGUAGAUAUCGGGAAGAACACCUGUGGCGAAGGCGGCUCUCUGGGACGGUACUGACGCUGAGACGCGAAAGCGUGGGGAGCAAACAGG
rnacentral:rRNA from 1 species